rnacentral:rRNA from 1 species
AGGACGAACGCUGGCGGCGUGCUUAACACAUGCAAGUCGAGCGGUAAGGCUCUUUCGGGAGUACACGAGCGGCGAACGGGUGAGUAACACGUGAGCAAUCUGCCCUUCACUUCGGGAUAACUCCGGGAAACCGGUGCUAAUACCGAAUAUGACCACUUCACGCAUGUGAUGGUGGUGGAAAGUUCUGGCGGUGGAGGAUGAGCUCGCGGCCUAUCAGCUUGUUGGUGGGGUAAUGGCCCACCAAGGCAACGACGGGUAGCCGGCCUGAGAGGGUGACCGGCCACACUGGGACUGAGACACGGCCCAGACUCCUACGGGAGGCAGCAGUGGGGGAAUAUUGGACAAUGGGCGAAAGCCUGAUCCAGCAACGCCGCGUGAGGGAUGACGGCCUUCGGGUGUAAACCUCUUCACCUGUGACGAAGCGAAGUGACGGUAGCAGGAGAAGAAGCACGGCCAACUACGCGCCAGCAGCCGCGGU